GGUCAAAUAUGGCGACAAUGAUCAACUUGCUCUUCUUCUACUAAAUUAAAGAUUCGUGUGGAGAUUCUGUCGAUAUAAUCAUAUAUUUAUAUCUGCUCUUUCUUAAAAUGGAGACGGUGCCAGGGCAAUGUUUCAUAGAGUGGAAUGAUUGACCUCAACACAAGUAUUAAAAAAAAAAGAAGCAAAACAGGUCUACAUCUCAAAACCUGAUCUCUUCCUGGACUGGCUUUAGGAGAACGAUGAUGCAUAUCAAUUUCAUCCCUGAUCUCUAUGACACCUGUGGUGGAAGUGGAGGGCAAAUCGUAAUCAGUUUGGGUUCCAGCCCCGAGGACCUCUGUAAACUUUGCUUUUUGGUGAUGACUUAAUUUCCGAGCUUGAAAAGGACGCUUGUGUGUUUAUCAUGGCCUCUCAUAUUGGAAGAUAUCAUUAAUGGCUUGUGUGUUGAUCGACGGUUGUGCAUAUCUCUUGGUCAGGAAAGUUGUAGGCACCAUCGCCAUUGUAAAUCAUUUGACAGGCCCGAGUGAACGGGGCGACCUAUGAUUGGUCAGCAAUGUAUCAGAUUCCAUACCGGGGGGGUGGGGAUGAAAAAACUGUUGUAGUGUUACAUAAUCAGAUUAUUUCAACUUACUUAUCCUGUGGAAAUACAGCUAUAUAGGAGAUAUUUUGAAAUUCAUAGGCACUGCAUGUUUCAACAUUUUAGAUUUGACCACAAUCUGGCACUUGAAACUAUGUUAACAGAGAAAAACUGUGUGGUUUUCGAUGAAAGUGUUAAAAGUCUAAUAUUGCAUCAUGAUUACUGUUUUAAAGUAUUUUCGUGUUUGAUUUAUAUUGAAUUCAUCUCAUCUUUUUGAAGAAUGCAUUUAUGUUCAAAAAUAAAAAUGUUCUGUGGAAUUCAAAAUUCAUGUGCUUUUAAAUUAUCAGAUUCCAAACUGGGGGGUAGGGAUGAAAAAGCUGUUGUAGUGUUACAUAAUCAGAUUAUUUCAACUUACUUAUCCUAUGGAAAUACAGCUAUAUAGGAGAUAUUUUAAAAUUGAUAGGCACUGCAUGUUUCAACAUUUUAGAUUUGACCACAAUUUGGCACUUGAAACUACGUUAACAGAGAAAAACUGUGUGGUUUUCGAUGAAAGUGUUAAAAAGUCUAAUAUUACAUCAUGAUUACUGUUUUAAAGUAUUUUCGUGUUUGAUUUAUAUUGAAUUGUAUUUAGAAAACGGAGGAAACCGAAUGACCCAGCGAAAAAACUCAAGAGAUUGGACAGGCGACUCUACUCCUUGAAAUUGAAACCAUGCCACUUAACACAAUGACAGACCCUGUGAUUUCAUGCGCAUGCAUUACCUACUAGACCAUUCCCCCCAGCCCCACCCCAUAUCGAAUAAAAGUAUGACUUAUUUCAAAUAUGAUAUUUACAUAUAAAGAAAGUAGAGAGACUUCAAUCUUACUAGAAAAAUACUAGAUUACCUGAAAUGAAAUGGGGUUUAAAGACAACGUCCUACUGGUCAGCUCCGACUGGUCUAAUGCAUUGUGCUAAGUGAAAAUGUUUGUCUGGGCAGCGACACUAUGGCCUACUCUCAUACCGAAUUCAAACUGCCAAGAGAACUUUUAUGUGUACGCCAAUGUGUACAUUGGAUCUCAGGGGAAACCACUCUGCAAAAUCAAGAUGAGCUUUCUCGGUCAACCCCAAGAGAUAACCUGUGGCCUCCAUGCUAGUGUGCCAGCACCUAAUUUACUCAGUCACCAUGGCCGUCUUCUAAUUACUGCGACAGUGAAACCAUGUGACAAACAAGGAUUAUUAAGAUAGACUUUUACGGCUUGGUAGUUCCUUGGGAUUAAAACUUUUGAUACAUAUAGAUACAUUAGUUUCAAUUUCAUAUCACACAGUUUGUAUAUAUGGUAAGGUAGCUUUAAUCGUAAAUUA